GCGGAAGUAGUUCAGUGGUAGAACGCCUCCUUGCCAAGGAGGAGGUCGCGAGUUCGAAUCUCGUCUUCCGCUCCA
rnacentral:tRNA from 4 species